GUGACGAAGCGACGCCGCGUGCGGGAAGAAGGCCUUCGGGUUGUAAACCGCUGUCGGGAGUUAGGAAGUGCAAGGAUGUUAAUAGCGUUCUUGCUUGACUAAGGCUCCGGAGGAAGCCACGGCUAACUCUGUGCCAGCAGCCGCGGUAAUACAGAGGCGGCAAGCGUUGUUCGGAAUUAUUGGGCGUAAAGAGCACGUAGGCGGCUGUGUAAGUCGGUUGUGAAAGCCUUCCGCUUAACGGAAGAACGGCAUCCGAUACUGCAUAGCUUGAGUGCGGGAGGGGAGAGUGGAACUUCUGGUGGAGCGGUGAAAUGCGUAGAUAUCAGAAGGGACACCGGCGGCGAAGGCGACUCUCUGGUCCGUAACUGACGCUGAGUGUGCGAAAGCUAGGGGAGCAAACGGGAUUAGAUACCCCGGUAGUCCUAGCCGUAAACGAU
rnacentral:rRNA from 1 species